rnacentral:rRNA from 1 species
AGAGCGAACGCUGGCGGCAGGCCUAACACAUGCAAGUCGAGCGCGUGUAGCAAUACACGAGCGGCAGACGGGAGAGUAACACGUGGGAACGCGCCCUUCGGUUCGGAAUAACUCAGGGAAACUUGAGCUAAUACCGGAUACGCCCUUACGGGGAAAGAUUUAUUGCCGAAGGAACGGCCCGCGUCCGAUUAGCUAGUUGGUGAGGUAACGGCUCACCAAGGCGACGAUCGGUAGCUGGUCUGAGAGGAUGACCAGCCUCACUGGGACUGAGACACGGCCCAGACUCCUACGGGAGGCAGCAGUGGGGAAUAUUGGACAAUGGGCGCAAGCCUGAUCCAGCCAUGCCGCGUGGAUGAUGAAGGCCUUAGGGUUGUAAAGUCCUUUUAACGGGGAAGAUAAUGACGGUACCCGUAGAAUAAGCCCCGGCUAACGUUCGCGCCAGCAGCCGC